rnacentral:lncRNA from 1 species
CUGGUUAGUUCUCUCCUAAUUUAAGAGAUUGUUUUCCAUUUUUUUUUCCAUUUCCCUUCACCCAGAUGUGCAUAGAUACAGAAAGGGAAAACUAAAGAAUCAUCAAUUCAGAUAGAAAUUCCUGUCUCAUAAUCUCAUUUGUCUACAUGGUAUUUGAGGACCAGGUUGGGUUACAAAUGUACAUAUUCAGCGCAGAUAUGCACAUGUGCACAUACAUCUGCUGAAACUUGAGAAUUGAGAUAUGGUUUUUUACUUUCGACUUCUAGAGAUAUGAUCGCAUCAAUGUUGAUAUUGACCUUUUAGGAAUUUCUUGUUUUGGUGCCUGAUUUGGGUUCCAAUUGGGAGCUUAUAAGUGAUGUAAUUAACAGUACUUUGCAAUCUAAGGUGAGAUCAUUGAAAUUUUAUACGUGUGUCUUUCUUGAUGGCAUUCAUUUGAGUUUGUCAUAGCCCCUGUCUUCAUCUGCUUUUUUAAGCUCAAAAGAAAAGGUUGGGACUAUUGGAGGAGGAUGAAUUGAAAGACGAGAGUUCUGUUGGAAAGGAGAGAAUCGUGAGAAAUCCAUCGAGUUUGCUAAGAA